AGUGAACGCUGGCGGUAGGCCUAACACAUGCAAGUCGAACGGCAGCACAGUAAGAGCUUGCUCUUACGGGUGGCGAGUGGCGGACGGGUGAGGAAUACAUCGGAAUCUACUUUUUCGUGGGGGAUAACGUAGGGAAACUUACGCUAAUACCGCAUACGACCUACGGGUGAAAGCAGGGGAUCUUCGGACCUUGCGCGAUUGAAUGAGCCGAUGUCGGAUUAGCCAGUUGGCGGGGUAAAGGCCCACCAAGGCGACGAUCCGUAGCUGGUCUGAGAGGAUGAUCAGCCACACUGGAACUGAGACACGGUCCAGACUCCUACGGGAGGCAGCAGUGGGGAAUAUUGGACAAUGGGCGCAAGCCUGAUCCAGCCAUACCGCGUGGGUGAAGAAGGCCUUCGGGUUGUAAAGCCCUUUUGUUGGGAAAGAAAAGCAGCAGGUUAAUACCCCGCUGUUCUGACGGUACCCAAAGAAUAAGCGCCGGCUAACUUCGUG
rnacentral:rRNA from 1 species